CUAGAUAACCUAUUGAGGUCCCUUCCAAUCGUACUCUUCUAUGAUUCUAUAUAAGGCAGGGAAUGACAUCAUCUGUGGUUCUUCACGCCCCACACAAGAGGACUCCUGGAAAAACCCGAGGAACAAAGACUGAACUGGGGGAAGUGCUGGACCCAGGCUAAAGGGAUUUCUAACCUGUGUAUGAAACACAGGGGAUUCAAAGCUACA